GAUGAACGCUGGCGGCGUGCCUAAUACAUGCAAGUCGAGCGAACGGACGAGAAGCUUGCUUCUCUGAUGUUAGCGGCGGACGGGUGAGUAACACGUGGAUAACCUACCUAUAAGACUGGGAUAACUUCGGGAAACCGGAGCUAAUACCGGAUAAUAUUUUGAACCGCAUGGUUCAAAAGUGAAAGACGGUCUUGCUGUCACUUAUAGAUGGAUCCGCGCUGCAUUAGCUAGUUGGUAAGGUAACGGCUUACCAAGGCAACGAUGCAUAGCCGACCUGAGAGGGCGAUCGGCCACACUGGAACUGAGACACGGUCCAGACUCCUACGGGAGGCAGCAGUAGGGAAUCUUCCGCAAUGGGAGAAAGCCUGACGGAGCAACGCCGCGUGAGUGAUGAAGGUCUUCGGAUCGUAAAACUCUGUUAUUAGGGAAGAACAUAUGUGUAAGUAACUGUGCACAUCUUGACGGUACCUAAUCAGAAAGCCACGGCUAACUACGUG
rnacentral:rRNA from 1 species